rnacentral:rRNA from 1 species
AACGAACGCUGGCGGCAGGCCUAACACAUGCAAGUCGAACGCUGUAGCAAUACAGAGUGGCAGACGGGUGAGUAACGCGUGGGAACAUACCCUUUGGUUCGGAAUAACUCAGGGAAACUUGAGCUAAUACCGGAUAAGUGCGAAAGCAGAAAGAUUCAUCGCCGAAGGAUUGGCCCGCGUUCGAUUAGCUUGUUGGUGAGGUAACGGCUCACCAAGGCGACGAUCGAUAGCUGGUCUGAGAGGAUGAUCAGCCACAUUGGGACUGAGACACGGCCCAAACUCCUACGGGAGGCAGCAGUGGGGAAUAUUGGACAAUGGCGAAAGCCUGAUCCAGCCAUGCCGCGUGAGUGAUGAAGGCCCUAGGGUUGUAAAGCUCUUUCGUCAGGGACGAUAAUGACGGUACCUGAAGAAGAAGCCCCGGCUAACUUCGUGCCAGCAGCCGCCGCAGUAAC